CUCAGUCCAAGUUUAUAAUCCACCCACUGUGUGGCGGCUUUGUGCUUUCCCUCAAAGCACUCACACAAUGUAAACACAGCGUUUAAAAGGGAGAUCUUUUUUUUAAUCUACAGUCUAAAACAAAGGGAGCACAGGAAAUGGACUCCAUCUUGAGGAAGAAAACAAACAGACGGCCUGUCAGUCAAGCUCAUAUGGCACGGCGAUGUCAUGAAGGACGAGAUGUGGGUACCGAGGAGUCGUGGGGCCCCAUGCGCGUUCCCGGGUACCAGCACCAGUAGCUGGGAACACAUGGCGAGUGAACGUGCAGUCGUAAUUGAUGGAGCAGUGAAUCAGCCUGGCUUCUGGGUAGCCUCACCACAACCGCUCCAAGAGUCUUUGUGACUCUCGGAAAGCCUCAUCCCCAGUGCCCCCCCCCCCCUCAGAGGUUCACGUACAGGACUCGCGGAGACCAUCAAAGAAGAUGUGUUUGACUGAGCGACCUCCCGGUAACAAGUAUACCAACUUGUAACCUUUUCCAUGGACAAACGACGAAGGACCAUAAAAACACUCCCAGGAAUUCAAUGGGGGAAGUUAAAGGUCCAUUUGUGCUUUUGUUGUCCCACCCCCCACCACCUCUCAAGAGCCACAUUAGACAAAGAUUAGGCAAAUUGGCCCAAUAACAAAUUGUUUGAGAUGUUAUUUUGAGUUGCUGUGCUUUUGUCUGGAAUUGACUGUUGUUGCGGGCGUGAGGUGUUUCACUUAGUGUUGAAAAGAGCGGUGCAGAUGUGCACUGCAGUUUG